UACGAAGGUGGCAAGCGUUGUUCGGAUUUACUGGGCGUAAAGGGAGCGUAGGUGGUUAGGUAAGCCCUCCGGGAAAUCUUCAGGCUUAACCUGAAAAGGUCGGGGGGGACUGCCUGGCUAGAGGACGGGAGAGGAGCGCGGAAUUCCCGGUGUAGCGGUGAAAUGCGUAGAUAUCAGGAGGAACACCGAUGGCGAAGGCAGGUCUCUGGGCCACUACUGACGCUGAGAAGCGAAAGCAUGGGGAGCGAACAGG
rnacentral:rRNA from 1 species